GAGUUGAGUUCUUCACUCUCUUAAUCUUUCUUAGCAACGGUUAUUUUUCAUUCUCUGACUAGACAUUUAAAUUUUCCAUUGGUCUGUUAUUGAUAGGACUCCCAAUAAACCAAUUGUCAGUUACCACACAAGUUGUCUUCUGCACCUGGACUUCGAAGGUAUUCCAAAUCCACAAGUCUUUUAACAAAUUUCAUUUUUCUACUUAUAAUUUAUUGAAUAACUAAAUUUAGAAGAAAUUGUACGACCAAACUCCUUAUGUAGCUAAACAAUGUAGACAACCUCUUUUCAAUUGUUCAAAAGAUCCCAUAAUUUUCUUGUCAUGUUUCCUCUGUUGAUCUCCUAAUGCGACAUGUUCGUCGUUGCAUUAUUAGAGACUUUCCUCGGAUGUUAGUUUAAAAUCGCGUUCAUCGAGAAGUUGGGUUAAUACGUGAUUCAGUUAAUGGGAUUUUUCAUGAUAUUGACGUUUUUGUUGAUUAUGGGGAUUGAGUACGAGUAUUUGUGGCAUGAUAGCAAGAGAUUAUUCACUGUGUUAUCUGAACUUUGGUUCGUCGUUAGGAACUUUGGGCCCAAUUCGACUACAUUCAUCUGGCCCGCGGAGCUAUUCCUGGCCCGACUGAGGUCCACGUGUCAUGCAUUAAGUGUGGUUGUGAGGAAAGUCAGGUUGAUUGUGGAUGCUUUUGUUUUGCAGUCUUACACAUUGGAUAUGAAGGUGAGCAGGAUUAAGUACAUUUUGAUGGUUUUGGCUUUUACAAAUGUAUUGUGGGUUUUAUUUCAACUUUUAUGUUGUCGGAAGUGGUGGGGAAGUCGUUGGAGGAAGUUUCCAGCGAGGAUGGUUGUGCCAUAAAUUUCCAAAAAAAUAUGCGCGGCGAGAGAGUAAUCCGCUGGAAGGUGUGACAGUAUAGAGUGAGAAAUAACUUUUAUAUUAUUUUUAAAGUUUUUCAAUUUUCUCCUUUUAUUUUUAUUAUUAUUUUAUGUCUGACACUUUUUUUAUCGUGCAUAGAGUACACCUUUAAAAAAUA
rnacentral:lncRNA from 1 species